GAUGAAGAACGCAGCUAAAUGCGAUAAGUAAUGUGAAUUGCAGAAUUCAGUGAAUCAUCGAAUCUUUGAACGCACAUUGCGCCCCCUGGUAUUCCGGGGGGCAUGCCUGUCCGAGCGUCAUUACAACCCUCAAGCCUCGCUUGGUGUUGGGCCCUGCCCGCCGCGGCCGGCCCUAAAGAUAGUGGCGGCGCCGCCUGGCCCUCAGCGUAGUACAGCUCUCGCUCCAGGGUCCGGCGGCAGCCUGCCAGAACCCCCCAACUCUGUGGUUGACCUCGGAUCAGGUAGGGAUACCCGCUGAACUUAAGCAUAUCAAUAAGCGGAGGA
rnacentral:misc_RNA from 1 species